rnacentral:rRNA from 1 species
AUUGAACGCUGGCGGCAGGCCUAACACAUGCAAGUCGAGCGAGCGGCGGACGGGUGAGUAAUGCUUGGGGAUCUGCCUGAUGGAGGGGGAUAACUACUGGAAACGGUGGCUAAUACCGCGUACUAUCGGAUGAGCCCAUAUGGGAUUAGCUAGUAGGUGGGGUAAAGGCUCACCAAGGCGACGAUCUCUAGCUGGUCUGAGAGGAUGAUCAGCCACACUGGGACUGAGAAAAGGCCCAGACUCCUACGGGAGGGAGCAGGGGGGAAUAUUCCGCAAUGGGCGAAACGUGACCCAGCCAAGCCGCGUGAAUGAAGAAGGUUUUCGGGUCAUAAAAAUCUUUUGGUAGAGAAGAGGUAUCUAACCAAGAAGCAAAGGCUAACUACGUGCCAGCAGCCGCGGUAAUAC